AUAAAGUUCAUAAACGGAGACCAAAUCUUUAAGAAUUGGUCUGAUUUGCCUGAUAGGACGAAUCUCAUAUCUUCAAGGUGUAACAUUUCCGUCAUGUUUGAGAUCCACAUUUUGAGCCUCGGCUUGGGUGCGUUUUUCCAUAAUUUUAUGA